CAAAAUAUAAUUUAACUUACAAAAGUCCAUAUAACUCAAAUUAGUACAUGUCAAAAGGGUAAUAUAAAUUUAAAAACAACCAUUAUUAUGGUUGUUUUGCUUUUUGGAACACUUCCUGAUCUUCCUGUGGUCCAUCAGAAACUAUAUCUGCAUUUAAAAAUUUUAGAAAAUAAAGUGAUGAGCAUUUCCAUGUUGCUCAGUAGGGUGUUUUACACCCAAAAAGGUUAGAAGUUCU
rnacentral:lncRNA from 1 species